GGAGAAAGCCAGGGAGCAGAGAGCAGUGGAGUGGGCUGGCAUAUUCUACAGCAGUAAGUUCUAGCAUGGAAAAAUCCAAGGAGCCUGAAAAUUCUAAAUCUGAGCUUGGCUUUCAGGUGUGCUUCCAUUUAUGCUCUUGCCUUGGGCUGCAGAAAUGUUAGGGCAGGCCUGGAAGCAAGGCACAGAGAUGGUUCUGAGCCGACAGAAGAGAGACAGAAAGGUCCAGAGGUGUAAUUUGGGAAUCCAAUCACAAGCAGGCAUAAGGCAGCCAAGAAGGAUGAGCCGGUGAUCUCUGCAGUCUGCCCAUAACUCCACACAAAACUUUACCCAUUGUCACAGGAGAGUAUAAGCAUAGCAUAAAGAUCCUCAUAGAUGGACUUUCAGCUCCAUGCUUAAAGCAACUGACAAGAAUCCAUUUCUUUUCAGUGUACAAGUGAAGGGUAAAAGACAGAGAAGGAAGACAGAGCAUAGGAAAAAGAGUGGGGUGAUAUUUGUCCAUUCAUUUGUUGAAAAAAUGGUUAAAUAAAGGAAUGAAUGACUAAAGACCAGAUUGGCAGGUGAAAGCCAGGGCAGGGGCCUGCAGCAGGCAGAGACACAGCUCACACAAAUGCAAGAGGAAGACGAAUCAGGCACUCGUCUGUUCUUCAAAGGAUACAGAAUUGUUUUAUUGACCACCUGUACAUGUGAUGGUUUUCAUCCUGGAGGAGAAGGGCAUAUCCACACCUACCGAAUAUCUAUUUCACAGGCAAUGUGCCAAUUAUUUACAUGCAUAAUCUCAGUAAAUCCUUAGACAACUCUGUGGAGG
rnacentral:lncRNA from 1 species